rnacentral:rRNA from 1 species
AGAGUUUGAUCAUGGCUCAGGACGAACGCUGGCGGCGUGCUUAACACAUGCAAGUCAAGGGGGCCCAGCAAUGGGCAACCGGCGAACGGGUGCGUAACACGUGAGCAAUCUGCCGUUCUUGUGGGGGAUAGCCGGCCCAACGGCCGGGUAAUACCGCAUACGCUCUUCUGGAGACAUCUCCUAGAGAGGAAACCCUUCGGGGGCAAGACGAGGAGCUCGCGGCCUAUCAGCUAGUUGGUGGGGUCAUGGCCCACCAAGGCGACGACGGGUAGCUGGUCUGAGAGGAUGGCCAGCCACAUUGGGACUGAGAAACGGCCCAGACUCCUACGGGGGGCUGCAGUAACGAAUCUUCCGCAAUGCACGAAAGUGUGACGGAGCGACGCCGCGUGUGGGACGAAGCCCUUCGGGGUGUAAACCACUGUCAGGGGUUACCAAGUUCUGAGGAGCCCCAGAGGAAGGCACGGCUAACUCUGUGCCAGCAGCCGCGGUAAGACAGAGGUGCCAAGCGUUAGGCGGAAUCACUGGGCUUAAAGCGUGUGUAGGCGGGUCGUUAAGUACCUUGUGAAAUCCCACAGCUCAACUGUGGAACUGCUCGGUAUACUGGCGAUCUUGAGCCACUUAGGGGCUGUCGGAACAAACGGUGGAGCGGUGAAAUGCGUAGAUAUCGUUUGGAACGCCAAAGGUGAAAACAGACAGCUGGGAGUGUGCUGACGCUGAGACACGAAAGCCAGGGGAGCGAACGGGAUUAGAUACCCCGGUAGUCC